rnacentral:sRNA from 1 species
AUUCUGCCCAUGCGGGGAAGGAUGAGAAGCUUCGACCAAGGUUCGACUCGAGCGCCAGCGAGAGAGCGUUGCCGCAGGCAACGACCCGAAGGGUGAAGCGCGCAGCGCUGAGUAAUCCUUCCCCCACCACCA